UACGGAAGCUUUAGGGAGGUGCUCUGAGACCCGAAACUAGACUCGACUUUAACAGACACAGACGACCCUGAAGAUGGAAAUGUUUUCUUCCAAAUUGUGCUGCACGUUUUUGGCGAGAGCAUGGGGCUGUGCGGCGUCCCCUCCCUGGCGCCCACCUGUGCCCUGCACACUGGCCUGCACUGUGGUGAUCUCGCUUGGCCCCCACCUGAUUCCUGACAUACAGCAGAGGAAGCUUAGGCUCAGGUGGAACAGCCUCAACUGAUUCAGUCCCUGAACUUCCGUACACAGCCCUGGAGUCGUCUUAGAGCCAUGAUUUAUUUAACUGUUCUUUCAUUUUACAGAACAUAAAAUGUAUUGUUUCCAACUUUUUUCCUAUGGUAAAUAAUACUAAAGUAAAUAUCUCUGUGCAUGAAUCUUUUUGUAUAUGUUGGAAUAUCCUUAAGAUAAGGCCCCAGAACUAAAAGUACCCUGUCAAAGGGUGAGCAUUUCCGGUUCCCCUGCUGUGCUUUGCUGCGUUGUUCUCCCCUGCUGCAACGUUCUCACUCCACAAUCCUGGGGCAGGUAGGGGAGGCCCAGCUGAGUUUGGAUCAUAAUCCUGAAAGACACA
rnacentral:lncRNA from 10 species